UCGGCGUGCGAAGUAAUUUACGUCAAAAGUUUCCAUAAUUCCAUCCAGUACGUUGGUCGCGUGAAUGACGUUAACGAUGACGCUGCAAGUAAGGACAGUGAAACGUGUAGCGAUUGAAGGUGCUAACAAUAAGAACGUCAAUGCCACCACGGAUGGUCGAUAGCUGCCACUGGUUGGAAACACGAUGAGAUGCAAUGAGGCAUAUCUCAAUGCAUUUUUAAAUCGAAACACUCCGCGAGAUAUUUUUAGCUGCUGUGAUCGCGAUCAGCCUGGAUAUUGGCUUUGGAAUGCUUGAGACUAAUUAGCAUGUAACUCACAAUGAACAUCCGUCUCUCCUCAUGAUAUUAUCCAUUAAGACAUCAUUUCUUGAAAUGAUGUUAAGAUCACAGAUUUGUUGAUUUAAAAUUUGUGUCGAAAAUUCAACAUUUUCAAGUAAUAAUAAAUUACGCAUAUAUUAUAAUGUAAUAGGAGUUUGAUAUAUUUUUCAAUAUUUCUAUUAAAAAAUACUCGCAAAUUUUCGGCCUAUUUUCAACAUUGAGACGAGGGACUAUUUCUAACUAAGUAUGAGAAAAUAAGUGGAUUUUUUGGUGAAUUUGAACUGAUUGAAAUUAAAUAUCCAAAAGCAAAACUUUAAUUCUCUUAGACUGAUAUCUAUUGUAAAGAAAGUGAAAUUUCUAGGAGAACAUCUUUUACCAAGAGACCGAUAAAAUAUAAGAGGAAUCAUAUUUGUAUUUGUUUGAAUCAGAAACUUAAUUAUUAUGAAUGUAUAUAACAUAUGAUUUUAUAAUCGUUAGAAAGAUUUAAGCACCUGGCUCAGAAAUGAAAAUAAACAAAAUAAAGUAAUAAUUUAUGCGAUUGUUACAUUGUAUGAAAUUAAAAUCUGUAAGUAAACCUUUUCGAAUUUUUAUAGAAUCGGAAAUCGAUACAUUAUUUUUGUAGAGAAAAACAGUUGGAGCUACAGGAAACGAAUCGUUUCUGAUAUAUUUUCACAUGAAUAAUACGUCGCAAGAGUUUUCAAUGCAAUUGCUCGAUGCGUCACAAUAGCGUUUCUCAAAGAUAGAAUGAACCGUACGAGAACCAUGUCUUGUUGGUGUUGCCGGUUUAAAGGGUAUCUCCUCAUUGAUUUUACAGAGGACUUUCGAGGUCAAUGACGUAUUAUGCUCGCACAUCUCAAUGACUCUUGACAAUCAGGGACC